GACGAACGCUGGCGGCGUGCCUAAUACAUGCAAGUCGAACGAGAGCGACCGGUGCUUGCACUGGUCAAUCUAGUGGCGAACGGGUGAGUAACACGUGGGUAACCUGCCCAUCAGAGGGGGAUAACAUCCGGAAACGGAUGCUAAAACCGCAUAGGUCUUCGAGCCGCAUGGCUUGAAGAGGAAAAGAGGCGCAAGCUUCUGCUGAUGGAUGGACCCGCGGUGCAUUAGCUAGUUGGUGAGGUAACGGCUCACCAAGGCCGUGAUGCAUAGCCGACCUGAGAGGGUGAUCGGCAACAUUGGGACGGAGAAACGGCCCAAACACCUACGGGAGGCAGCAGUAGGGAAUCUUCCGCAAUGGACGAAAGUCUGACGGAGCAAAGCCGCGUGAGUGAAGAAGGUUUUCGGAUCGUAAAACUCUGUUGUUAGAGAAGAACAAGUGCUAGAGUAACUGUUAGCGCCUUGACGGUAUCUAACCAGAAAGCCACGGCUAACUACGUG
rnacentral:rRNA from 1 species